AGCAGCCGCGGUAAUUCCAGCUCCAAUAGCGUAUAUUAAAGUUGUUGCAGUUAAAAAGCUCGUAGUUGAAUUUCGGGAUCAAAGAAUCGGUCAUGCCUUGGUAUGUACUGGUUUUAUUGGUUCUCACCUUCUAAAGAACCAUGAUGUCAUUCAUUUGAUGUUAUGGGGAAUUAGGACUGUUACCUUGAAAAAAUUAGAGUGUUUAAAGCAGGCUCACGCUUGAAUACAUUAGCAUGGAAUAAUGAAAUAGGACGUUUGAUUCUAUUUUGUUGGUUUCUAGGAUCGACGUAAUGAUUAAUAGGGAUAGUUGGGGGCAUUAGUAUUCAAUUGUCAGAGGUGAAAUUCUUGGAUUUAUUGAAGACUAACUACUGCGAAAGCAUUUGCCAAGGAUGUUUUCAUUAAUCAAGAACGAAAGUUAGGGGAUCGAAGACGAUCAGAUACCGUCGUAGUCUUAACCAUAAACUAUGCCGACUAGGGAUCGGAUGAUGUUAAUUUUUUAAUGACUCAUUCGGCGCCUUAC
rnacentral:misc_RNA from 1 species